rnacentral:lncRNA from 1 species
GCAGUAGCACAACAGUAUUCCUCCAGUAUAUUUUCUAUUUAGUAGAUGUUUAUUUUAGAUUUCAUGAAGAUAUUCUAUAUUAUGUCAUGAAUGCAGAUAACUGUUUAACAGAGAAUAUUCAUGUUUUUUUAGCAGGAUCAUAUUCAUUAAUUCAUGAGGCAAUACGUUGAGCUCACAAGCACUUUUCAUAUCUACCUGAUGACUCCUAUUCAUGUUGCAGAUAAACCAUCCUUCCUGAAAUUUGAUUGCUUUAAUUUUUAGGGUUGCUUAUUUUUUUUGGUGUAAUGUGGUUGUCUGAAAUUGUCCAUGUCCAUCUGAUACAGUAGUAUCAGUUCUGCAAAAGUAAUCAUUUUAGUUUCCUGCCUGUAUGGAUCAUUGAUAAUAAUUUAUCUAAACUCAAUGGAAAUAAAUAGUCAUCAUUUAACAAUCUAAUAUUUUAAUUACUAAUUUCUUAAUAUUCAAGUGACACUUCAUUAAAUUUAAAUUAGUAUAGAUCUCUCCCAUAUGACUAUUUGUUGCCAUCUUACUGAUAUUUCAGUCUAUGUAGUGGUGACAUAAUAAUAGGUACCCAUAAGUAAUUAAGGACAGCUCAAUUGGUUUCAACAUAGUUUAGCUCUGAAUAAAUAGGAUCAACAUUGAAGUUACUGAUUAUGAUUUUAGCUUGUUAUGAUUUUGUUUGGAUCAUAUAUAGCAUUAACAUUGAAGUUACUGUAGGCUUAUGAAGGAGCUUCUUCUUGACAAAAACCAAGCUGUCGAAGGACUGUGGCGGUGUGCCUCUAGUUGAAGAUUAGUAUUUUGUUAUAGUAGUGUGGUUAGGCACUAUUUUUUUGUAUGGGAACUAUCUGUAAGUAAGUUAGGCACUAUUAGAUUCAUGGUUGAUAUUUUUUCUCUUUUCUGCAAAGAUACAUCUUGAUGUAUUGCCAUAUUGAAUCAAUAAUAUUUGUUUUCUGUUACCAGUUUAUUAAUGGUUUAUUCUUCUGUUGUG